CAUGGAGAGUGAAUGAGUGGACAUUAAAGGGAGAUGGGAGGGAGUGCAUAAGGGGAAGCUUGAUCUCCCCUCCCUCUGUGCACUCCCUCCCAUCUCCCUUUAAUGUCCACUCAUUCACUCUCCAUGC